rnacentral:tRNA from 8 species
CGCGGGGUGGAGCAGCACGGUAGCUCGUCGGGCUCAUAACCCGAAGGUCGCAGGUUCAAAUCCUGUCCCCGCA